UGAAGAGGAAGUUUCUUCCCCUCUUUCUUAGCUCCCAAUUGCUAAAUCAAUUUCUCUGUGCUUUGCCAAGAGAUCUGUUUUAACAGUUAUGCAGGUAUUUCAAUCUGCAGAUGGGGAUUCUGCCAAUGAGAAUCAAUUAAAACAAUUGUCUUCUGCCUAUGGAUGGAAUUGCAGUUCCAGGAUAUUCGGCACCCUGAGAUCUGGGAAAGCAGAGGGUCUCUUCCUGGAUGCAUCCCUGUGAUUAAUCUGUAUUUAGACUUCUCAGCAAGAGUCCAGAUUUUUACAGCUGCUAAUCACCCACAGUUGUCAUUAACUUCAAUGGGUAACUCCUGCUGAAUCCGGGCUUUUCCACACCUGUUGGAUUUUCCAACUACUUAGUUU